CAUAAGAUCACAUACAUUCAUUACUUACAAAAUAAUCUCGAGAAGGUUUUUAGUGCUGACAUCACAUAUGAAAAGCUGCGUCCUCACUGCACUCAUUUAACCUUGUGAUGUUGAAGUUUCAUUUCUUUUUCCCCAUUUUGUGGCUGCUUACAAGAUGUGGGCCUGAUCCCGCUCCCAUUGGACUCCAGAGCAGAGCUUCAGCUGAUUACAACAGGAAUCAAAUAAAUGAGGCAAAGGCAUAAUCGGAGGCUGCAGGUCAGUGGGUCACCUCAGCUGAAGCUAGUGCUUGCUGAGUCUCACGCCUGCUAGCCCUCCAGAGCCAGCACAGGUAAGACGGAGGAUUCUAUGCGAUCUCAUGCACCAUCAACACAAAUGAUUCCAAGUUCCAAUCACCCAGACCUGUGUAAACCCAGCGAAGGCAAUGGGACUGCACAGAUAUCACCGAGACAUCAUUUGAAGACAAUGGGGGUGCAGAGGUGUCCGUGAGCACUUUUUGAACCUUUGGCAUGGGUGAUGGUAUGUGGGAUGAAAGAAACCAGCCUGACUGUCAGAGAAACAUCUUCUUACUUCAGGUUUCAGAGUAGCAGCCGUGUUAGUCUGUAUCCGCAAAAAGAAAAGGACGACUUGUGGCACCUCAGAGACUAACAAAUUUAUUUGAGCAUAAGCUUUCGUGAGCAACAGCUCACUUCAUCGGAUGCAUACUUGAAACCGAGCACAAUCAAAAUGUGACAGUGAGACACAGUGAGCAGGGAGCAUUUUUGCAAAGUCACCUUUCAGAGCAGCACCAGGCUUUAUGCAAAACCAGAGCGCAAACACAGAAAUUCAUAUGUACGCUCCAGGUUCAGUGACUAGCCUUAUUAUAGAUAUGAGCUGGCCGCUUCCACUCAUCAGUGGCAAUAUUUAAAUGUCAUAAAUUCUGCUCAGGGCAAACCCCAUCUGGAGUGCCCCACUCACUUCAGAGCAAAGUUCCAUCUUGUGAGUCAGGGGGGAGAGAGCAGUUUCAAAAGCCAUUGCUUGAAACAAAGACCAAUUCAGUUAGAACCCCCUUUCUGAAGUUCAUUGGAAAAAAGAAUCUGAUUCUGACCUCACGUUGUACUGAGGGAAAUAAGGAGUAAAUCUGCACAAUAAAUCUGGUGAGAGAUGAGGCUCUGACCCUCUCUAAUUGAAAAUGUAUUGUGUCUCAGAUUAUUCCCCACCAUAGGCAAUAUGAGUGUUUGGUUUUAAUUACAUCCUGGUGCCCAGUGCACCAUCAAACCUGGUGCCCAAUAAUAGGACAGGGAUUAUUUGCUCAGGGGCAGUGAGAUGACAUGAAGGCGAGAAGGAAUUGCUUCCUGAAGCUGCCUUUAUUUCUGGAAGGUGGCAGGCUGUAUCAGGCUGCUAUAAGUCUCCUGCUUGCUAACGUGGAGAACAGAACUCUGGGUGCAGUCACAGCUGACGUUUCAUCUGCAUGCAUUUUAAGCACGUAGUAUGAAAAUGUCUUCGGGGACGUUCCCAUGGCAGCCAUGGGUUUGAUCUGCAGUUGGUGUAGACGUCCUCACACUAGCUGAACUCUAGCUAGCUCACUAAAAAUAGCAGUGAGGAUGUUGUGCCAUGGGCUGCACCAACACGUACAGACCUGGGCGGGGGGUUGGGGGGGGGGAGAUGGGGUUGUGCAACUUGCACUGAAGCCUGUGCUGCUAUUUUUAUUGAGCAAGUCAGAUUAAAGCUGGCACUGGUAUGUCUACAUCAGCUGCCAUUCAUGCCCCCAGGUGCAGCAUAGAUGCACCAUUAGUAGAAGGCAAAAGAGCUAGUGUCAAAUGAGGAGUCAAUCCAUUUGAGGGGCUGGACAGAUGAGAAGAUCAAUAAGGGGCCCAGAGCCUGUGAGCUCUAGAUCAUGAGAUAGUCAUUAGCACCCACCUUAGCUUUAUUCUGUCAGUCACUAACCUCCCUCUGGAGCAGGGGUGGGCAAAGUUUUUGGCCCAAAGGCCACAUCAGCGUUGCGAAACUGUGUGGAGGGCCGGGUAGGGA